ACGAACGCUGGCGGCGUGCCUAACACAUGCGAGUCGAGCGAGAAACUUCGGUUUCUAUCGGCGGACGGGUGAGUAACAGGUGGGUAACCUGGCUCAUAGAGGGGGAUAGCCUCCCGAAAGGGAGAUUAGUACCGCAUAAGAAGUAAGAAUCGCAUGGUUCAAGCUUUAAAGGAGUAAUCCGCUAUGAGAUGGGCCCGCGGCGCGUUAGCUAGUUGGUGAGGUAAAGGCUCACCAAGGCGACGAUGCGUAGCCGACCUGAGAGGGUGAUCGGCCACAUUGGAACUGAGACACGGUCCAGACUCCUACGGGAGGCAGCAGUGGGGAAUAUUGCACAAUGGGCGAAAGCCUGAUGCAUCAACGCCGCGUGAGUGAUGACGGCCUUCGGGUUGUAAAGCUCUGUCUUUGGGGACGAUAAUGACGGUACCCAAAGAGGAAUCCACGGCUAGCUACGUGCCAGCAGCCGCGGUAAUACGUAUGUGGCAAGCGUUGUCCGGAUUUACUGGGCGUAAAGGGUGCGUACGGCUGACUUUAAUUGAGAUGUGCAUCCCCGAGCUUACUUGCGGGCUGCAUUUCAACUGUAGGUCUCUAGUGCACGAAAUCAGAGUGGAUAUCUAUUGUACCGUUGAAUGCCUAAAAUAUGAAAACCCAAUGCCAAGGGAUCUCUGACUGUACUAAACUGAGGACCAAAGUGUUAGCACCACACAACCCUGGAUCCUGCCGUAACAAUGACUCUACUCUACGGUUUCCUCACUCUUACCGCUCAACGCUUAAUAUACUCCUGCUAUACGUCCCUCAUUCUAUCUUUCAAUGACGCAGCCUUAACCCUG
rnacentral:rRNA from 1 species